rnacentral:rRNA from 1 species
UACGUAGGGUGCAAGCGUUUGUCCGGAAUUAUUGGGCGUAAAGAGCUCGUAGGCGGUCUGUCGCGUCUGCUGUGAAAACCUAGGGCUUAACUCUGGGCGUGCAGUGGGGUACGGGCAGGCUAGAGUGCGGUAGGGGGAGACUGGAAUUCCUGGUGUAGCGGUGAAAUGCGCAGAUAUCAGGAGGAACACCGGUGGCGAAGGCGGGUCUCUGGGCCGUAACUGACGCUGAGGAGCGAAAGCGUGGGGAGCAAACAGG